GCCGCCUUAGCUCAGUUGGUAGAGCAAUGUCUUCGUAAGACAUGGGUCCCCGGUUCAAAUCCGGGAGGCGGCU
rnacentral:tRNA from 1 species